rnacentral:rRNA from 1 species
CGGGAGAUGGCCGCGCCGUGCACUUCAAUCACGGACGAGCGUCUGGCCGUUCUCCUCGAGGAGAUCUUCCUCCGGCUGCCUACCCCAGCUGACCACGUCCGCGCCUCCGUUGCCUUGCACCAAGUCGACUCUGUCCGCCAGCUCCUCGCCGACCGCUCCUUCCUCCGUCGCUUCCGCAAAACACACUCCCCGUCCUUCAUCGGCUUCGUCGACUAUCAUGGCUUUCGCCCCGCGCUCCCGCCUCACACUUCCGCGCCCAUCGCCGAUGCCGUCGGUCACGCCGCCGACUUCUCCUUCUCCUUUCUUCCUCGCCCCAAUCGUUGCAGCUUCACGGGAGACCCUGGCUGCUGGAACGUCCGGGACAUCCGUGACGGCCGGGUCCUCCUCGACCGUGGCCCCAAACGCGAGAAGGGCUCAGUCGUCUUCCCGGAGCUCGCGGUGUGCGACCCGUUGCACCGGCGAUACCGCCUGCUACCCCCGAUUCCUAACGACCUAGCCGUGUUGGUGAGGGACUCACUUGAUCUGUUUUACUCACCAAAGCGCCGCUGCGGGGUCGUCCUCGUCCCCGCCAUCCAGGAAGGGGAAGGGGAAGUGGAACCGGAAGAUGAUGAGACGUCAUUCCGUGUGGUCUGGAUGGCGCAGUGCAGGACCAAGCCGAUGGCAUUCGUUUAUUCUUCAACCAGUGGACAGUGGCAAGGCAUUGCAUCAGAGGGUUGGAGCAAUUUGUUAGGUUGUGCGACACCCGUAUCUUUGGAAUCCCGUUUGUUCCAAAGGUGUGCUAACGCCUAUGGAUGUUUGUACUGGCCGAUGUUUGGGCCGGAGAGUGGCCUGGAGAAUUAUCCGAGGGAAGUUAUGCUCGUUCUUGACACCAUGAGGAUGGAGUUUUCUGUUGCUGAUUUGCCAGCCGGAAGAAGAUGGAGGGGCGGAGGCUUUGGUAUUGUGGAGGCAGGGGAAGGCAGGCUUGGACUGAUUACUCAUUCGAAUGAUGGCACACUACAGUAUAUUGUUAGGCAGAACACCGAUAUGAAUGAGUGGCAGAUAGAGAAGAUAAUCCCAUUGGCUGAGGGUGACCAUACAAUCAUACGUGUAACUGAGAGGUACUUGCUCGUACUAAGGUCAGAUGUGAGGAUCGACUGCAUGACAUUUCAGGUUGAGAGGCUUUAUGAGAAAUCUGAAUGUUUCUCACUAGACGUCAAGACAUUUAAGCUUGAGAGGGUGUGUGAGAAAAAAGAAUGUCUCAUGUGGGCCCAUAUACACCAACUUCCCACCAUCAUUGUCGUCAAGGACAGUAUGAAAUGGUAUACUCAGUUCUCU